rnacentral:rRNA from 1 species
UGGGGGAUAUUGCACAAUGGGCGCAAGCCUGAUGCAGCGACGCCGCGUGGGGGAUGAAGGCCUUCGGGUUGUAAACUUCUUUUGCUCUGAACAAGGCGCACUUUGGGGUGUGUUGAGUGUAGGGGUUGAUUAGCGCCGGCUAACUACGUGCCAGCAGCCGCGGUAAUACGUAGGGCGCGAGCGUUGUCCGGAAUUAUUGGGCGUAAAGGGCUUGUAGGUGGCUGGUUGCGUCUGUCGUGAAAGCUCAUGGCUUAACUGUGGGUUUGCGGUGGGUACGGGCUGGCUUGAGUGAAGUAGGGGAGGCUGGAAUUCAUGGUGUAGCGGUGGAAUGCGCAGAUAUCAAGAGGAAUACCGGUGGCGAAGGCGGGUCUCUGGGCUGUUACUAACACUGAGGAGCGAAAGCAUGGGGAGCGAACAGG